GUUGCCUGCAGCGGGACAGUCUCCAAUUCUAUUACUUCUGUUGUGGGUAACCAUACAAGUAGCUCAUGCUUCAGACCUGAUCCCUCUGUAAGGACCUCCAAGUCAGCUGCCUGGAAGGACCUCUCCUCCGGGUCUGUUGGACCACUGAGGCUCCUGCUGUCCCCACCUUCCUUCCAGAAAGAUCUCAUCACUGGAGCUGAGCACAGGGUGCCCCACAGCUCUCCAACUUGUUGCUUUCCAAGACAGCACACCUCUGGCCAGCUUGGUAGGCAAGGGCCUGAGCUCCCUCUGCAGACAGACGGUGCCCCUGCAGCAGAGGCUCGUGGUCUGACACACUCAGGAAAGGAAACAGUGAAGGUGAGAUGAAAAUGAACCCUGCCUGGGUGUCCCAGGUUUUCCUGCCCUUGACGGUCUUGGAGGGCUUUGCUGGGCAGGCGCCUCUCCCUGGCCAGCCCUGUUCACCGGGAAGGGUUCUGCCAUCCCCCAAGUGCCUCUCUGCUUGCUCAGCCUAUCGGGACAUUUUGAGGAAAGAGAUGCUGGAGUAGGAGGGAACUAGAUGGAAAAGAGAAGGAGAUUUUAAGAAGUAGUGCUGUGGGCCAAGUGUUUCCGUUACUGGGUUUAAAAAAGUGCAUAGAAAGAACUUCCAAUGAUCUUGAAAUCACUCUGGGGUCGCUGGUUGGUGUUCCCUGACUCCAACAUUGGGCUCAGACUGAACCACAUGGGUCGUGGCUUCAAGAGGAUUAUGGAAAUAACAGUGUAAGGAAGCACAUGAUAAUUAACACUUUGGACAGCAGCCAUAACUUUCCUCGUCUUUCUGGAGAGCCUGGGAAUCAAGAUCUUCGGGCUUAGUCCACACCUUUGCGAUUUUAGCCCACAAGCAGCCCCACUUGUAUCCUAGGCAGACCCAGGGAUACAGGCUUCGAUCGGGAUCCAGAAGGCUCAGAAGGAUCUGAGGGGAAACAUUCAUUUCCCUCUGAACCUCUCAACACGUGUUCAUGGAAGCUCUCCAAAGAGCUGCGUCUCUAGGGCCACGUUCACUGUAUUUAGGGGAUUCUGCCCAUUGUUUCUAAGUGUGUUUCUGGAACUCUCUGUCAGAACUAUGAUCCCAUUUUAAAAUAUGCCGGAGUGCUUCCACAAAUGCUAUGGAUAAUUUGCUUAGCUAUCAUAUUAGCAUAAAUUUGCAUAUUUGUUUCAAAAUUAAAAUAUGAGUAAGAAUAAA
rnacentral:lncRNA from 1 species